AGGGUCAGGUUCUGGACUCUAGGAGGAAGCAUUGGCUCUUUGGGACAGUGAUCCAAAACCCACGCUCAAGCUUUCAGAGCCGGAAAGAGAGUGGGAGGGUGGGGGGCGGUGAGCCGGAGACCUUAUCUCUCAGACUCCGCCUCCCCAAGACACAGAGAAAGUUUCAGAAUGCAGCUAGUUGAGUCUUCCAUCCACUAGGCUGCUGAGAGGCGGCCAGUGCUAGAAAAGCAACGGAGGGACGUAGCUGGAUUGGAACACAGGUUUCUCUCAGUCUUUCUGCAUAGUGUCCUUUGGGGAAGCUUGCGAGCUCUGGAUUGCCUCACCUGCCCAGAAGAAUUUGAGGGUUGUGGGAAGUGUGGAGCGCUCUGCUGGCUGCUGACUCCUCUCUUCUCGUUCCCGGCUAUUUGGGCUCCCCUUGAGAGCUCCAGGUAAAGAAGACUUUCUUUA
rnacentral:lncRNA from 1 species